AGUCAUAAAGCGUGAGAGAUCGAAUAUUCCCUAAUCAGCGCUGAUGGUUCGUCCAGAGCUUCGCCUCCGUGGAAGGUCUGCUUCAGAAGAAGAUGAAGAGUCCCUGUGUGAUACAGUCUUAUGCUGUAUCCUCCUCUCGAUGAGGUGUGUGCGUUUGAGGUGUGUGUGGUUCUGUGUGUUUUUGCUUGACCUUGGCUCUCAGGCCCUGGUAUAUGCAUGUGUAUCUCUUGUGUUCCUCCUAACGGGGGAGAGCUCCUCGAAGUGUCUCCUGUGUGAUAAAUUAAUGUGGCUCUCCCGUUCUUGAGGAUGACUGGUGCAUUGUCUGAGUGUCCACCAUUUGCCUGGUUGGGAAAUGGGGCCUUCGGCUCCGG
ensembl:lncRNA